rnacentral:rRNA from 1 species
CCUACGGGAGGCAGCAGUGGGGAAUAUUGCACAAUGGGGGAAACCCUGAUGCAGCGAUGCCGCGUGAGUGAAGAAGUAUUUCGGUAUGUAAAGCUCUAUUAGCAGGGAAGAAAAUGACGGUACCUGACUAAGAAGCCCCGGCUAACUACGUGCCAGCAGCCGCGGUAAUACGUCGGGGGCAAGCGUUAUCCGGAUUUACUGGGUGUAAAGGGAGCGUAGACGGCAGUGCAAGUCUGAAGGGAAAGCCCGCGGCCCAACUGCGGGACUGCUUUGGAAACUGGCCGGCUAGAGUGCUGGAGAGGGAGGCGGAAUUCCUGGUGUAGCGGUGAAAUGCGUAGAUAUCAGGAGGAACACCGGCGGCGAAGGCGGCCUGCUGGACUGAUACUGACGUUGAGGCUCGAAAGCGUGGGGAGCAAACAGGAUUAGAUACCCCAGUAGUC